rnacentral:piRNA from 1 species
UAAUUUUUAGCUCUGUGUUUAUAUAGAGGA